AGUUUGAUCCUGGCUCAGGAUGAACGCUAGCGACAGGCUUAACACAUGCAAGUCGAGGGGGCGAGCGGGGGCGAAAGCUUGCUUUCGCCUGCCGGCGACCGGCGCACGGGUGAGUAACACGUAUGGAACCUGCCCUAUGCAGGGGGAUAAGCGGAAGAAAUUCCGUCUAAUACCGCAUAACACCAUUUGGAGACAUCUCCAGGUGGUCAAAGGAGGCGACUCCGGCAUAGGAUGGCCAUGCGUCGCAUUAGCUAGUCGGCGGGGUAACGGCCCACCGAGGCGACGAUGCGUAGGGGUUCUGAGAGGAAGGUCCCCCACACUGGUACUGAGACACGGACCAGACUCCUACGGGAGGCAGCAGUGAGGAAUAUUGGUCAAUGGGCGCAAGCCUGAACCAGCCAAGUCGCGUGAGGGAAGACGGUCCUAUGGAUUGUAAACCUCUUUUGUCGGGGAGCAAAGCGCGGUACGAGUACCGCGAAGGGGAGUACCCGAAGAAAAAGCAUCGGCUAACUCCGUG
rnacentral:rRNA from 1 species